rnacentral:rRNA from 1 species
GACGAACGCUGGCGGCGUGCCUAAUACAUGCAAGUAGAACGCACAGUUUAUACCUUAGCUUGCUACACCAUAGACUGUGAGUUGCGAACGGGUGAGUAACGCGUAGGUAACCUGCCUGGUAGCGGGGGAUAACUAUUGGAAACGAUAGCUAAUACCGCAUAAUAUUAAUUAUUGCAUGAUAAUUAAUUGCAAGGUGCAAUUGCACCACUACCAGAUGGACCUGCGUUGUAUUAGCUAGUAGGUGAGGUAACGGCUCACCUAGGCGACGAUACAUAGCCGACCUGAGAGGAUGAUCGGCCACACUGGGACGGAGACACGGCCCAGACUCCUACGGGAGGCAGCAGGAGGGAAUCUUAGGCAAGGGACGAAAGUCUGACCGAGCAACGCCGCGUGAGUGAAGAAGGUUGUCGGAUCGUAAAGCUCGGUUGUAAGAGAAGAACGGGUGUGAGAGUGGAAAGUUCACACUGUGACGGUAUCUUACCAGAAAGGGACGGCUAACUACGUG